AUGACCUUCACCAUCAUCUUCAUCUCGACACUUUUAUUCUCCAUACCAGGGUGUAAAUCACAGAUCACAGUAACUCAAAGUCCUUCAGUGAAAACUGCAGCACCAGGAGACUCUGUUACUCUGAAUUGUAAAGUCAGUUCUCCUCCAGACUGUAAUCCACCCUGUUUGUCCUGGUACUUACAGAAACCUGGAGAAGCUCCUAAACUCCUGAUAUAUCUGACAAACAGCCUUCAGUCUGGAACUCCAUCAAGAUUCAGUGGCAGUGCAUCAUCUGGUGGUAGAGAUUUUACUCUGAGCAUCAGUGAAGUUCAGACUGAAGAUACAGGAGAUUAUUACUGUCAGAGUUAUCACAGUGGCAAUGUGUUCACACAGUGA